UUCUGGAUCACUCCUUAUCGAUGAUUACAAUCGACAGGUAAGGGGCCCUGGGAACGCCAUGAGGCGUUCCUAGGGGGAGGGGUACUGUCACGGUUCAUAGAUCCAAUGUCUCUCUCUAGUCUCGUGCUUUGUUGUUUACAUGUGUGUGAGUGGGUGUGUCCGGAUCGUUACCGUUGAUCAGUAUCCAGCUGCUAUCACUCUUCAUCACCAGCUGCCACUCAUCUCACCUCCUAUAAAUACUUACCACCUUCUCAUCUCCUUUGUCAGAUCGUUUCAUGAAGUCUAUGUUGUCUGAUCCUGUUUCCGUGCCUCGUGUCCCGUCUUCAGUUCCUGUGUUCCAGUUUCACGUCUUGUUGGAUCGUCUAUGUGUCUGGUUCCCGUCAUCCGUCAUCAGAGCACGCUGCACUUCAUCCAUCACGCCACGUCUGACCAUCAAAGUCCCUGUGCCACCGCCUGCUUCACCCGGAUCUAUUAUCAUCAUCAUCAUCAUCUGUUCUGACUUUAAAUAAAGAGUUUUACUUGCAAUUGUAUCCUCGUUUCUGACGUAACAAGCUGAGAUGCAAGCAGCUAUCAUCAGAUCAUCAGGAUGGAAUGAGAGGUAGAGUUGAGUGUCAUCAGCAUAGCAGUGAUAUGAAAAGCCAUGUUUCUGAAUGACAAAAUGUAGACAGUGAUUCCAUGUAGACAGAGAAUAUAAGUGGUCCAAGAACUGAGCCCUGAGGCACCCCAGCAGCUAGAUGUUACGACUUGGACACCUCACCCCCCCCCCCAAGAUACCUUGAAGGACCUGUCUGAGAGGUAAUUGUCAAACCACUGGAGUGCGGUUCCUGAGAUGCCCUUUGCCAAUAGGGUUGACAGGAGGAUCUGGUGGUUGACCAUAUCAAAAGAAGUGGACAGAUCCAGCUAGUUAAGUAAUGGAGAUUUGGAAACCGCUCUUGCCAGUCUUAGGGCUUCAACAACUGAGAGCAAGGCAGUCUCGGUUUAAUGUCCACUUCUGAAACCAGACUGGUUGCUGUCGAGGAGGUUGUUAUGUGUGAGAAAGGCAGAGACUUAGUUGAACACAACUCGCUCAAAAGUUUUUGCUAUGAAAGGAAGAAGGGAAAAGAGUUCUUUAAAAGAGUUGGGUUAAGAGUGGGUUUCUUAAGUAGUGGGGUUAUACGAGCCUGUCUAAAUGCUGAGUUAAAAACACCAGUGUGAAUGAGAUGAAAUAUGAUGAGAUUAAAUAGAAUCAAGUGGACAAGUAGUAGGAUGAUUUAGGAAGGAUGAGUUUAGGGACUUCUGACUCAGAGAGUGGAGAGAAGGAUGUGAAAGAGUGUAUGUUUGUUGGUAAGAUGUGUUUGACAGUUUGAGUAAGAGAUGCUAACUGUUUAGAGCGAGGAAGCGAAGAUGAAAGUAAAACAGAGAGCCUGGAGGGUGAAUGUGAGCCUAGUUUACAUCGAAAGAUGACAUGUGAAGGGGUAUGUGUUGUGUCAGGAACCAUGUUGAGGUUAAGAGUGAGCAGGAAGUGAUCUGAGGUGUGCAGUGGGGUAACCAGCACAUGAUCAGUGGAGCAGUGUCCUGAGAAUUAAUGAGAAAUUAUUGAAUUAAAUUAAAGAUUAUUAAAUAUAUAAUUAUCAUUGUAAUGCAUGGGGUGGGACUGAAAACCAUGAACGUGAGGCUUGGUGGCUCCCACGGCUCUCAGCCCCGCCCCACUUGUCCCAAAAAUUUUAAGUGAAAGUGACGUGACAUGUGGUCAAGUAUGGUUACCCAUACUCGGAAUUUGUGUUCUGCAAUUAACCCAUCCAAAUUGCACACACACAGCAGUGAACGAACGAACACACAGUGCAAAUGACAACUGAGCCACCUAUGAACCUUGAUCAGUCCCAAGAAACUUGGAUGAAGAAGAACAAACAUUUCCCCAUCCAACAAUUCCAGAUUAUUUUCUGUUCCACAAAAAAAUAAAAAAUAAAAAAUACAUGUUCCCCCCAAAAAAGGAUCCACAAGUAUGUGACACAGAGAAAGAAAUCUUCAAGUUUUGAUGCAUGUCAGCUUCCUGAAAAGGUACUCAAUGUAGAGGAAGUGUUAAUGAAGUCAUUAUACAAAAAUGAAAACUAUUUAUUUAUUGCAUAUAUUAAGGUACACUAUUAUUUACUGUAUGAACUGCAUGUCAUUAUAGGUCGACAUGCUAUGGAAGAAGCCACCUACAGAGCUGAUUGUAGCAGUUUUGAGGUCUCCUAGGCAGAAGAAUGAGUCCCUCUUACAUCACAGGAAAUUCCAAUCACUGAGGCCACAUGAGUGGUUAAAUGGAGAAGUACACAUAUGAAAACUAAAAUGCAAUUGCAUUAUUUUACAUUUCUAUUUCUAUUUUACAGUAUGAUAAGUAAUUUGAUUCCAAUUGAAAUGCUAUAUCAUAUUUUUUAGAUUUUUGCCUGGUAUUUCAGAGCUCUGCUUCAAAUGAAGGGUGCAAAUCUGUACCUGCUAGACUAUUACACCACAGGUGUCAUUUUAAAUGAAACAAGGGAGUGGAUCUUAAAGACGAAAUUGAAAAAAGUCAUCUUUGAGGAAUAUGAUGGGCUCAUCACUUUCGUAAAUAUCAACAACAACCACUGGCGGUUUGUGACAUUUUUUUCACAAUGAGACCUCAUACAAAUGAAAAGACAGACUGGGCGAAUAAGAACUGGACACCUGGCACAAUCACACAUCCAUUUCAGGAGGAUAGUUCCAGCUGUGAUGUCUUUGUGAUGCUGAUGGCCAAACAGGUGGUGGAAGAGUUCCCCAAAAUUUCUAACAUAAUUAAUAUAACACCCAGCACGGAGAUGAUGACCCACUACAGGAAAAGUGUAGCCAAAGAGAUUUUGCUGGCAUCAGGUAUAAAGCACUUUGAACAAACAGUUUAGUUCCAUGUUAUACACAGAGAGAUUAAAGAUAAUCCUAUCUACGUUAUAAUAAUUGCAGUGUCAAGACAGGAAUACUGCUGUGUGUGUGGAAAAUCAGAAAAAGACCAAACAGUGGAGCAAAGCACCUGGGUAUUCACUAUGCCAUUUCUGGCUGUUUACUACUUGUGUAAAGUGAAAACAAAUGUUUUGAAAAGUAAUUUUAACAAUUUCUACUAUGUCUAUAUAUAUCUAACAACAUGUCCUAGUUCCCUUCCGGAUUCAAUGUGAAUCAUGCCUGAGGUGGUUUCAUGUUCGGUGCCUCAACAUUAAUGUGCCACCAGAAGAACAAGCAUGGAUUUGUGAUUUGUGUUGGUAAGCUAUGCAGUUUGGAGCUUAUGCUGAAAGUGUGUUAAAACAAUAAGAAUAUGUGUUGCCUAUUUGAGAUGUUAUGGAAUUAGAUUUGUAGUGUUUAGUUUAUGUUUGAUAUUGGUGUAUUGGUGUAUGCAAAUUUCCAAUGUGCUUAUAUUUUGUUCUAUUUCAUAUUCAUUAAUACAACAUAUUUCUUAUUAGUUUAGCCAGUACAGUAGAAUCAUUACAAGUAAUUUUUUUCUUUAUGCACUUCUUUUUUGCAUUGCAUUCAUAUUACUGUUUUACAUUAUUCAUAUACUUAGAUAAGGAUUAUUCAUCGAUAUUAUGUAUAUUGUUCAUUUCACAUAUAAAAAGUAUAUUUUCCUAUGCUUAAGUGAUGUUUGAACAGCAUGUUGUAAAUGUAAUGUGCUAUUUUUUAUAUGCAAGGAUGUACUAAGUGGUCUAUUUUAAGAGCUGUUAUUUGUUGCUAAUUGAUAUUUGAAGAUUACAAGGUCUGCUUAUUUUAGUCAAAGGAUGACAAACCACAAAUUUUGUGGUGUUGUAAAAAGAUGUAUAAGUCUGUAUAUAGAAUAUACAGUUUGAAUGUCAUUUGUCUUCAUUAUUUAGAUAGUAUUAAAUAUAGUAUUUUAUGUGGCCAGGGAAACUUACUACAUACAGCUCAAUGCAUGUAGACUUCAGCAACAGUGCACCUUGAACAUGUUUUGGAGUUGUUUGUUCCACUAUAUGGGACAUUUUUAGCUUUAUAUAGCUGCUUUUCACAGACAACUAAAUGCAAUAAAUAAGCCAGUCCCCAUGGUGUACUGUGUCCUUUGGAGUGUGCUUAAUAAUAAAGUGAAUUGGGUUAACUUGGGCAAAGACUUGAAAAUUAUUGAAAGUUUAAGGUGCAGAUAGCAUCAGGACCAUGGACAGCGCCAUGAAAUACAAGUAUAGCCUAGUUUCUCUUUUAAAAUUAAAACAACAUCCAAGUUUGUUUCAGGUUUUAUGCUUAGUAUAAUAUUGUGUAAGGUUCGACAAUACAAGAUAUAUAUAUAUAUAUAUAUAUAUAUAUAUAUAUAUCAAGUUUUUUUUAAAGGGAAUGUGUCUCAAUGUACGCACCCAUCGAACAGAGAGAUGUGGGAAAAGUGUAAUUUAGAGCGAUUUUUGUCCUUUAAAGAGUUUUGCUAUGUUGUACAAUUUCAACUAAUUAUUUAGAAAUGUGUUUUGGAAAAGUGUGAGCCUGUUUUCCAAAGUUAUACAACUGGAAUGUGUCUCAAUGAAGAAAAACUUUGAAUACAAUGUUGGUAGAAAUUACACAUGUAAAGAAAGCAAUUGUAAAAUAUGUGAGUGAGGCACAAUUUAUUUAUAAAACAUCUUUUUAGCAGAAAGUUUAGCCAUUACUUUAUGAAGUGUUGACCCAAAAUACCAAAAAUAAGCAACCUGUUUGCUGUCAUGCUUUCUGAGUUCUUGUCAAGAAUCUGAUGGAUUCAGUGCCAUGGACAGUGAUAUUUCUGCAGGACUGUAAACAUCAAUCAAUGCACAUGAAUUGUGAUAUUGUCAGAAUGUAAUGUUAAAUAAAGAUUUCAUACAACAGGAAAACAUAAAAGUUAUUUUAGCAAUUCAUCUCAACUCAACACUUGGAGAACACUGUUACAAUGGUGUUUAGCACACUUAAAACCAGAAAAAACAAACAAACAAACAGAGGUGAAUAAAACAGCAAGACAUGGGCUGCAGUAUGUUCUGUAGGGUCCAGACAAGAUGUUCCAACUUGCUUUGGAGCAGUCGACCCAUGCUUUCAAAACCUAUAGAAAUAAAUCAUAUAUGUCAUCGUUAACACCAACACAGUUCUUGCUCAUUUUGAGGCAAAGAAAUAAAUAAAAAGCAUUAUAAAUUGAAAUUAGACAUUAACUAUGUUCAGGAGAUUACACAUGAUUUCCCAGUUGUAUGUAUUGUUACAAAAUUACAAGUUCAUUAUUUGUCAUUUCCUAAACGUCUCUUAAAACGGCAUAAUUAUAUUGCAGUUUUUUUUUUUUUUAUUGUUGCUAAAGGAGCAUAAGAAGGCAUACUGUGAGUGAUAUUUGUGAUACAAGUAAUUGUCUCUUUGCACACAAUUAAAAAAUAUAUAACUUUUUAGACGGUCCCUAUCUUGCUUACCGCUCUACAUUGGACAUUCGGCGGACAUUCGCAAGUAAAUAUGCCAUUAAAACAAUACUUGGCCAUUUUGUUCGAUUGUGAAAAAAAGGUAGUAGGUUGACAAUGAUGUCGCUGAAUCGAAUUUGCAAAAGAAACAUGUUUUGCACAUAUAAUUAGAAAGUUAUUGAACGCGGAAAUGUUGUGAAUGUGCGAAUAUGAAACCAACUUUACCCAAGUGUCGAGACGUAUGAUGAUCUACGCUUCGUAACGGAGGCUGAUUUGAUGACAGCAUUAAGACCUGUAGAAGCCAGAAAGCUUCUUUCUGCUUGGAAACUGUGAAUUUAAAGACCACACUCCCGAGAAGAGUUCACUAUCAUCUGUGGAAGCCUCACCUACCCAAUCACUGCUUUCACCCCAAAGUUCAUCGUCAAGCUCCUCCAGCAGCCCAGAACUUGACACACAGUGGGAGGUCAACUUUGAAAUUCCAUGGAGUAAAUUUCCUGAGGAAUUGAUGCAGGAUUUAGAGAGGGGGAAAAGGCCUGGCCCAAAACUAAGGAGGCAAAUGGUCCGGAUUGUUGUGACUGAGAUGAUGCAAAAAUGCCCUCAUGUAGGUAAAAAGCAUUCAACUGACGUUGCAACAAAAAUGGUGGCAAAAUAUCCCAGUUCUCUCCAAGAUGUAAUAGAGGGUGAUAUUGUUGGAACAGGCUACCAUUCCCUUGUCAAACAGUUGCAAAACAGAAUUGAAAAUGUGAGACGCACUUCAACACCCAAAAUAAGAAAAAGAAAACAUCAGACCGAUGACUCGGACCAAACAGACGAGAUCCCAUUAGAAGAGAGAGCAGCAAUGCAGGACACUUAUGGAUGCAUUAAAUGGAAUGUAAAAUUUCUGCCCCUUGAAGAAACUCAAGAGAGCCAGCAGCAAAAGAUGGAAAAACUCAAGGUGAUGUUCCAACAUUCUGAUGCCAAUCCAGAGGAGGUAAAAUGUUUAAUGAAGUCCACAUUUUACACACAGCGUCAACAUGUCAACCAGGGAAAAAGUAUCAAAUGCCUUAGAGAGGACGUUUUGGUUUGAUGAACUUGGCAGGUCAGUCCACUUUAUGGAACUCACUGGGAUUGACCUCAAAGAGAAAUUCACACGAAAUUUGGAUUUGAAAGGAAAAAGGCUUCUCGACUACAUGACCACAGUUUGUGUCAACAAGAGCAAGAAAUUCCUUCAGAAUUAUGCAAGGCUUCAGAGGAUGCGGGGAAUGCAGAGUGGCUGUUCAGAUGAUGUGAUAGAGAUGAUCCUGCUUCUGCUCAGCUACUUUGAUGAGAAGGAGGAGUCCAUGUUCUUCCAUGUAGAAGAUACAUGUCUGGCAGAAGAGGUCCAACUGGAGCAAGUGCCUCUGACACCCGUUGUUAUUGUCUGUGGACAGUCCUGCUAUUCCUCCACAAGGUACAUGCUGAGUCUGGAUCGGAACCUUAUCAACACAAACAUCUCCUCCUUCAUUUCUGCAUUGUGCCUCAUGUUCGGGAGCUACUACUGUUUUAAUAUUCAUUAUCCAUCUGAGCUGGCUUCAACUCUGGAGUUUCUUCAAAGGUGUUUUUUCUCGAUAAACCCAGAAAAAGGAACCAAGGUAGAGAAUAAAAACUCCAAGCGUCGUCUCAACGUGAACCCUCGAGUCCUCACCCUGAUACAGGAACUCUCCGAUCACGAGUGGCGUUAAGCCUAAAUAUGGACUCUUUCUGUGGACUCUGACUCUUUGUUUGAGAAGAACUUUUUCUCUGUUUGUUUGAGAAGAGGUACUGUUAGUUUUCGCUUUGUUAAAUCCACAAUGUGUAUUAUGUUUACUAAGGCACUAUAUGAUUAUUAUUAUUUUUUUAAGUCUUAAAGGUGCACUUUUUCUGGUAGCGAGUCCGCCACCUGCUUGUUUCAUGAAGAUGUUCUUUCUUUGCGGAAAUGUUUCACAAUAUGGUAUAAAACUUAUCUAUCUUGCAUUUAUUCAAUUAGAACUGUUUUUAUUGCAAACAAUACCUUAACAAACGUGAGGGGGCUCGCCUGUAGAUCUGUAGAUCUGACCUGUAACUUGGCCUUUUGGCAUCACCUGAUUGUCUCCAUGGAGAUAGAUAAGUUGUAUGCCAUACUGUGGAACAUUCCAGACAGGGAGAGUGUGGGUUGUUGUUGUGUGCCUGGCACAUAAACUUUGUUUCAAACUUUGAAAACUUUGUUUGAAUAAAAAUGCAUCCAGUUGUUUACAACUAUUGACGAUGGCUGUUAAAUAAAUUUCUCAAGUUAUAUUUUGCUCUCUUGUCUUUUCUCAAGAUGCGUUUUUGAGAUUUAACACAAUAACUUCAUUAUUAAAACAUAAAAAUACAGCAUAUUAUGAAUAGAUUUUAUGUAUAAUAUACAGAAUAUCUCAAUUUAAAAUGCAAAGUUUUUAUGUUGUUUUACCGGUUAAAAUGCGUUUUGUUUGAUAUUUUCCUGUUAAUUGUAUCAU